rnacentral:rRNA from 1 species
AUGUCUAGGAGCCUGGUGCUGGAAUCUUUGGGGUCAAGAUUUGCUGACAAUUUUAUCAGUUUUCCUGCUAUUGGGUCUCGUGGAGGGAUCCUCAUUGCUUGCACCGAUGACUUUGAGGUGUCUGAUAUUCCCUUGGCAGCGGGAGCUCAUUCGGUUUCAGGUACUAUCAGGGACAAAUCUGAUGGCAAUUGCUGGUCAAUCAUAGGGGUCUACGGCCCACAGUUAGAGGCCGAUAAGAUGGUGUUCAUGUCUGAAUUGAGAAGGAUCCAGCAGCACAUGUUGUCAAGAUGGAUGGUGUUGGGGGAUUUCAACAUGAUCAGUAGGGCUGUUGACAAGAGCAACAAUAACUGCAAUCUGAGGAUGAUGGGUAGAUUUAGGGCACUCAUUGAGGAUUUGGAAUUCAUCGAUUUUCCCUUGCCGGGGAGAAGAUUUACUUGGUCAAACGAGCGUCAAAACGUCACCCUGACCAGAAUUGUCAGGGUUUUAGUCUCCGACGAGUGGGAGGCUGCUUUCCCACAAUUUCAACUAACUCCCGUGUCGACCAACAUAUCUGAUCAUUGCCCGUUGAUUUUGAAAAAGAUGCAGCCCUCUCAUUAUAAGGCUUUCCGGUUCGAGAAUCAUUGGUUAAAAUCCCAGGAGUUUGAUGGGGUUGUUGCUCAAGCUUGGAAUAGAGAGGUCCAAUCUGGAGACCCAGUUCAAGUGUUACAAGCAAAACUUUCCAGAACGACGACGGCCUUAAAAAAUUGGUACAAGAAAAGGGUGAGGUGGGCCACUUUCAUAUCUGGAAUUGCAAAUGAAGUCAUUUUCCGCCUGGACCAGGCACAAGAGGACCGAGAGCUGACCGAGGCCGAGAGAAAUGUGAGGAGCUUGCUCAAGAUGAAGCUAUUGGGUAUUGCGGCCAUUGACAGAGCACGAUGGAGGCAGAAAUCGAGGUGA